GUUAAUAUAUGUCGUCAGAGGCUCCUCACGCCAAUCCCGGGGCGGCGGGGGCGGCGCCUCGCGCGCUCUGCAAUAAAACUUUUUGAUGUUCUCCUUGCUAAUUGCCUAGGUCCUCUUCCAGGAUUGGCUGCCCCUUCAUAACCAUAAGAUAAUUAAAACGAGGGGGGGCAGGGUUAAAAAAACUUUUUAUCAGCCAGAGGUUAAUGCAAGUGUUUAGCAGAUGCUUCACAAUUAAAAUAUUUUUUCCCCUCAAGUCUUAAAUAUUGAAGAAUCUCAAACCAGGGACACCAGCCCCAACGAAAGACCUUGGGCGAUUUCAAGGCGCAGGCACCUCGAUUCCCCGAAUUUGUGGUGUGGCCGGUAUCGGUGUUCCCUUGGUUUAACUAGCCUGUCUGAUGGUGAAAUUGAGGCAUAGAAGUCAAGAAAUUUGCUCAAGGUCGUGAAAGUAAUAAAUGGCGGAGCCCAUGGCUUCCUGGGUUCUUGUGUUUCUCUAAUUCUAGUAGAGAAAGGAUGACAAGAAUCUCGAUGUGAGUUUCAGAAGAAAACCAAUUCUCCGUCACCUACACCAAGAUGUUUCCUAGAAGCUCCAGGAGAAAUUGGGUCUCCCUGGAUGCCCAGUUUUCUAUCAAAAUGAGAUCUAAUGCUUUGGAAGCAUUAUCUCAGCGAGAUAGACCCCACCUACUCUACACACUGUUAAAAGAAAACCCUGGAGACGUAACACCUUUCUUUUUUAGCUAGCCAGCUUCCCGUGGACAUUAUAUAAUGUCCAUUAUCAAUGUUCAGCUCAUUGUGGUGUGGAUUCUGUGAAAUCAUGAAGUGCAAGAGAAGUAUUUGAGGCACAGCAAACUUGUGGACUUGUUAGUCUGUAAUCCUUAUGUUCAGAAUCUGUAAAACUUCAGCACAAGUGACCUUUACCACACACGUAAAGAGGGAUGGAAGUUGACAUUAAGGGGGGCUAUCUGGUAUUCCCCAAUAAUAUGAAGUUGUCCUGCUUUUUAUAUAGCUCAAUGCUUCACCUGUUUUGGGUUCAUCCAUGAGUAUCUUUCAUAUCUAAGCAGGACAAUUUCUUACAUGGAUGUGAUGAUCUCUCCUGCAUUUUCCUAGAUGACAUGUCAUUUGAUAAAUUGGCUUAUUGAGCACAGAUAACAGACUCAUGCAAACACCAACAGAGAGCCAAGAGAGUCAUCUGAAUGUUACAAUCCUCACCUGUGUCCAGAUGUGAAUUUGUUCCUUUUCUAAAUCCUCAAUAGAGUUUUCUUGGUUGCAGAGAUAUUUUUACUCACCCUGAUCACAGUGUUUGCCUCAAAUCUCAUAAAGCCGGACAUGUUACUGGUGCUCUGAAAGUCUCCUGCUUUGUGAACAAGGUUUAAUGAAUUGGGAGUAUCCGUGCACAUUGCUUUCACUCAAAAAGAGAAAAUCCUUUUAAACAGCUAUAGCUACAGAAAUUCAAUUUCGUUUAUUUAGGAGGAAAUGAGAAACUUGAAUUGUAGGUGUGGAGUCUUACAAUCUUUUAGACUGAUAAAAGUAUGGUUGGGGGGAUGGUUGGAACAGCACCGAAUUGCUUCAGCCAAAAUUAUUUUUGUGAGCACAUUUCCAAACUCACGAUCAUGUUUUGAUAAGAAAAACCCCUUUCUCCACAAAUUCUCAGGUCCCACUCAUUGGCCCUUCACCUCCAGUUCUAAAACCUAUGUCAGACUGUUACAUGGCUCAGUUCUUGGUGAUAUGUUUUCAAUUUGAGUCAACUUGAUGAGAGAAAAAUUACUAAAAAGUGGGAAUGAGCUGUGAGGUGAAUAGGGCUUUCCUAUCAAAGUGGAGGUAUUUUUAAAAGCAUUUAUUAUUUCAAACUAAAACAUUUAUAGAAAGGCAUGAGUGUGAAGUGUAUGGUUACCAGUUGUGGCUUGCCGUAUUGAAAAAUUCAAGUUCAGAGGAAAUAUUUGCUGAGACUCUGGCUAGCAAGUAGUUUGUUCAUGGGAAUAAUUUGGUCCAGAAGGCAUGUCAGCUUAAAACAAUAGUUUACUAAUAUAGUAGUAACAGGCAAUUAAGACUCAUAAAUGUUACCAUGAUUGAGACAUAAUUUGAUGUAAAUACUUCUGUUAUUAACAGAACUUAAAUGCUGUAUGUCUAUGUCUUACACAUGACAUGAAUGUCAGAAGUGAGAAAAUGACUCCUCCAUUUGCAAUACUUUAUGGGCUCUGAUAUAAUAUGGUUAUUUCUUUCUGUGUUGAAGAUGAUGAACAUCGUUUUUGGCACAUUUGUUCCAUGGUAAAAAAGUAUUUAGCUUACAAGUGAAAAAAAGUCUGGCUUUUUUAUUUUUUAUUUUUUUAAAGAUUUUAUUUUUUUUUUCCUUUUUCUCCCCAAAGCCCCCCGGUACAUAAUUGUAAAUUCUUCGUUGUGGGUCCUUCUAAUUGUGGCAUGCGGGAUGCUGCCUCAGUGUGGCCUGAUGAGCAGCGCCAUGUCCGCGCCCAGGAUUCGAACCAACAAAACACUGGGCUGCCUGCAGCGGAGCGCGUGAACCUAACCACUCGGCUACGGGGCCAGCCCCAAGUCUGGCUUUUUUAGCUGUGGAUUCAAGAGAUGCUGUAUAGCUGAGUUUACUUUCUGAGGAAAGGCCAGUUUUGUGUGGCAGUCUCUGGAAAUUUGUUUGGAACAUAUAAAAUUCUCUUGUCAUGUGAAUUCUGGAGAUCUGUGGGAAAUACAUUUAAUCACAUUGGGUGAGAAUAUUCCUUUUUGUGUGAGUUCUUCGUGAAUUGACAGUGCUUUUGUUCACUCAAUGAUAAUUCGUGGAGUUCAUUCCACAAAAAUGCCUAUGGUGUAUUGUCGAAUAAAGAGGAGGCUGCAAACAGUAUUUAUGGUAUAUAAUCUUAUGUACACAUGAAAUUUUAUGUAUGUGUGUGUGUGCAUAUGUAUAAAAAAGAAAGAAAUCUUGAAGGCUGUUAAUAGUUAACUCUGGGUGGUGAGUUUUGGGAGCUUAUCUUCUUUGUAUAGUUUUUUAGAUUGCUUUAUUUUUUUUGAUAUUAUGAAGUGUGUCAUACAUUUAAAGGACGACAUAUGACAGUUUAAAGAAUAAUAAUAUAAUGACUACCCACUGCCUAGCUAAAAUAAUAGAAUAUUACUUUGUUUUAGAAGCCAAGCCUUCCUUCCUCCUCUGCCUCUUUCAUGGAGGUAAUUACCUGCCUGAAUUUUGUACCAAUAGUUUAUUUGCUUUUCUAUAUGGUUUAGCCAUCUAUGAAUGUAUUCAUAAGCUACAUAUGGUUUUAUUUUGAUUGUUUUGAACUUUAAAUUAACAGAGUAAUACUGGAUAUAUUCUUCUGUGACAUACUUGUGUUUUGCUCGUUAUAUUUUUGAGAUUCAUCCAUGUUGAUGUGUACAGUUGAUUUUUUUCUUUGUAAGUGGAUAAUAUAAUUUCAUCACAAAAAAAUCAAUGAAGUCAUAGUUAUUUUG
ensembl:lncRNA